UACGGAGGGUGCUAGCGUUGUUCGGAAAUACUGGGCGUAAAGCGCACGUAGGCGGCGCAGCAAGUCAGGGGCGAAAUCCCGGGGCUCAACCCCGGAACUGCCCUUGAAACUGCAGUGCUAGAAUCUUGGAGAGGCGAGUGGAAUUCCGAGUGUAGAGGUGAAAUUCGUAGAUAUUCGGAAGAACACCAGUGGCGAAGGCGACUCGCUGGACAAGUAUUGACGCUGAGAUGCGAAAGCGUGGGGAGCAAACAGG
rnacentral:rRNA from 1 species